rnacentral:rRNA from 1 species
GACGAACGCUGGCGGCGUGCUUAACACAUGCAAGUCGAACGGAAAGGCCCUGCUCUUGUGGGGUGCUCGAGUGGCGAACGGGUGUGUAACACGCGAGUAACCCGCCCUUGUCUUUGGGAUAACUCCAGGAAAAUGGGGCUAAUAUCCGAUAGGAGCUCCUGCUGCACGGUGGGGGUUGGAAAGUUUCGGCGGUUUUGGAUAGACUCGCGGGUUAUCCGCUAGUUGGUGGGGUAGUGGCUUACGAAGGCUUUGACGGGUAGCCGGCCUGGGAGGGUGACCGGCCACAAUGGGACUAAGAUACGGCCCAGACGCCUACGGGAGGCAGCAGUGGAGAGUAUUGCACAGUGAGCGGAAGCGUGAGACAGCAACGCCGCGUGCGUGAUGACGGCCUUCGAGUGGUGAACCGCUUUCGCCGGUAACGAGGCGGGAUUGACGGUAAUGGGUAAGAAAGCACCGGCUAACUACGUG